rnacentral:rRNA from 1 species
AAAGGAAUAGACGGGGGCCCGCACAAGCGGUGGAGCAUGUGGUUUAAUUCGAAGCUACGCGAAGAACCUUACCAGGUCUUGACAUACUAUGCAAAUCUAAGAGAUUAGACGUUCCCUUCGGGGACAUGGAUACAGGUGGUGCAUGGUUGUCGUCAGCUCGUGUCGUGAGAUGUUGGGUUAAGUCCCGCAACGAGCGCAACCCUUAUUAUCAGUUGCCAGCAUUAAGUUGGGCACUCUGGUGAGACUGCCGGUGACAAACCGGAGGAAGGUGGGGAUGACGUCAAAUCAUCAUGCCCCUUAUGACCUGGGCUACACACGUGCUACAAUGGAUGGUACAACGAGUUGCGAACUCGCGAGAGUAAGCUAAUCUCUUAAAGCCAUUCUCAGUUCGGAUUGUAGGCUGCAACUCGCCUACAUGAAGUCGGAAUCGCUAGUAAUCGCGGAUCAGCAUGCCGCGGUGAAUACGUUCCCGGGCCUUGUACACACCGCCCGU